GACGUAGGGCGCGAGCGUUGUCCGGAUUCAUUGGGCGUAAAGAGCUCGUAGGCGGCUGCUCAAGUCGAAUGUGAAAACUCGAGGCUCAACCUCGAGCCUGCAUUCGAUACUGGGUGGCUAGAGUCUAGUAGGGGGAUCUGGAAUUCCUGGUGUAGCGGUGGAAUGCGCAGAUAUCAGGAGGAACACCGGUGGCGAAGGCGGAUCUCUGGGCCAUUACUGACGCUGAGGAGCGAAAGCGUGGGGAGCGAACAGG
rnacentral:rRNA from 1 species